CUUCCUACGGGAGGCAGCAGUAGGGAAUCUUCCACAAUGGACGAAAGUCUGAUGGAGCAACGCCGCGUGAGUGAAGAAGGGUUUCGGCUCGUAAAGCUCUGUUGGUAGUGGAGAAAGAUAGAGGUAGUAACUGGCCUUUAUUUGACGGUAAUUACUUAGAAAGUCACGGCUAACUACGUGCCAGCAGCCGCGGUAAUACGUAGGUGGCAAGCGUUGUCCGGAUUUAUUGGGCGGAAAGCGAGUGC
rnacentral:rRNA from 1 species